ACCACAGCCAAAUACUCAUGCUUACUAAAUUAGGAAAACCUUCACUUAUAUUUCAACCUAUAAGCAUUGAGGGUAGUUAAGUUGUGCAGACCCUAGGGAACUAGUCAUGCAGUUAAAGUCAAUAUUAUGUGCUCUCCAUCCAUUGAUCUUAGCUACUUCUAUCCUCAAAAAGUAUGCAACCACUUACAUCCACCACAUUCACUAUGUGCUACUUCCGUUCCUAGAAGUACCACCCACAUAUACGCACUACACUCUAUGAUGUUUCUAUCCUAGAGACACGCACCUAUGCUACUACAACCCUGGGAGUAUGCAUUCAUUCACCCAUACACAUUCCACAUUCACUUAGAAAAUGUUCUACUCCUACACUGGGAGAAUAUACCCCCAAAAAUAUUCAAUGUCUUAUUUUACUUAUCCAAUAAAGCUCUAGAUAUUUCAGUUGAUACUCCCUACUGUUAUCAGUGCAUUAAAAGAGUUGGCUGAUCUAUAAAAAAAGAGAGAAAAAAAGAAAGAAAGAGGACAAAAGUCCUAAAGCAAAAGAAUUAUCCCCAAGGAGCAACUAUAGAAUUAGAUGUUCACUAUCAGUUAUCACCCCUCAUAACCACUUUCAUUCUUAUCAUUCACUUCAUUCACUGCACUCACAUGCACAUAUGACUUGAUUGUAUAAUUAGUUUCUCUGGAUCCACGGUUUAACUUCGCAAUAAAUGCAAGUAGGUUUGAAUUGUCUUUCCCACCUAUAAGCUCCACAUAAGCCUAUUAGAAGUAGGGUGAGAGAGAGAGAAGGCAUAUUCACUUGCCAUGGAGAGGAUCCAAAAAUACCCCAAAUGAGAGACUGAAAAGUGUCAUACAAGGAAACUUUGAGUUUUAUUUGAAAAUCUUGCAAAACUCUGGAAUGAUAGUUGAUCAAAGAGCAAGUACCAUAGUGCUUGACUUAACUGUUCUAUCUUUCAACUGCCCAAGACCUAAGUGAUAGCUAUAAGCUCCAUGGUGAAAGGUAAAAUGAGUGAGUCUUGAGUUAGAAUAGUUCACUCUAAUCUGGAG
rnacentral:lncRNA from 1 species